rnacentral:lncRNA from 1 species
CUGAGGGCCUCAGAGGGGAUGCUUGGAGAAGCUGAAAAAUCCACAAGCUGUUCUCUGAAAUUUCCUCCCCUGGGGCAGCCUCACUACCCAGGACCCACUGUCCUCAUUAGCCUGAGGAAACCUGGUAGUUGGAGAAAGCUGGGGACUGCUAAUUCAGAAGAAGAGGUAGAAUUCUCUAGAGCCUCAGUCUAUUUCCAGCAGGUGUGUGGCCCACACCUGGAGUGGGGAUACUGAGGCCAGGAGUGGGAUGACCCAGCAUGCUUAUCUCCUUUGACAGUAUGUACUGGGGUGGGCUCUGUAGACCUCUCCUCUACCCAGGGAGUGGGAGUGGGUGGGGAAGGAGGCAGAAGCCAGGUGUAGGGAUAGACUCAAAGCGAGCGAUUUCUGUCUCCAACUUCCCAACAUGCAUAACUCACAUUUUUGCAAGCUCUGAG